CCCCACUCAUGCUGAAUUUCUGGUUCCGUCCCUGAGAGGAACAUUGAAAAUUAAGCAGGACCGUUGAUCCACAACUCAAAACUUUAUGAGUAGUACAAAAAUAAUCAUUUAACAGUUUAGUUCUCACAUUUCCAGUGUCCAAUGACUAUAAAUUUUUAAGUUCUCACCAUCUUUCGGUAUCCGACGACUAUAAUUUUUUUUUUAAGAAUUGACCUCCUAAAUUUUUUUUGACCGAAAACAGUAAGAGAGGCUCAUACUGUGGUAUAUUAAUAAUAGAAGCCACUGAAUAUUAAUGUGCUGCCAGGAUCUGGUACUGAAAGAGCAAUGUAGAAAGAGAUGUUCCAAAGUUUCAUCAGCACCAGAAGAACAUAGCACACAACCAAACUUGAAUCAAUGUUAUAAUGUCAAUGAGAAAGCAUGUUUCUGGUGUUUAGCUUGUCACUGAGAAGCAACCACAUAAAGACUUUAAUCUUGAGGGUAAGCAUGGAUGUCCA
rnacentral:lncRNA from 1 species